GACGAACGCUGGCGGCGUGCUUAACACAUGCCAGUCGAACGGAAAGGCCCUGCUUUUGUGGGGUGCUCGAGUGGCGAACGGGUGAGUAACACGUGAGUAACCUGCCCUUGACUUUGGGAUAACUUCAGGAGACUGGGGCUAAUACCGGAUAGGAGCUCCUGCUGCAUGGUGGGGGUUGGAAAGUUUCGGCGGUUGGGGAUGGACUCGCGGCUUAUCAGCUUGUUGGUGGGGUAGUGGCUUACCAAGGCUUUGACGGGUAGCCGGCCUGAGAGGGUGACCGGCCACAUUGGGACUGAGAUACGGCCCAGACUCCUACGGGAGGCAGCAGUGGGGAAUAUUGCACAAUGGGCGGAAGCCUGAUGCAGCAACGCCGCGUGCGGGAUGACGGCCUUCGGGUUGUAAACCGCUUUCGCCUGUGACGAAGCGUGAGUGACGGUAAUGGGUAAAGAAGCACCGGCUAACUACGUG
rnacentral:rRNA from 1 species